AGUGAACGCUGGCGGUAGGCCUAACACAUGCAAGUCGAACGGCAGCACAGUAAGAGCUUGCUCUUACGGGUGGCGAGUGGCGGACGGGUGAGGAAUACAUCGGAAUCUACUUUUUCGUGGGGGAUAACGUAGGGAAACUUACGCUAAUACCGCAUACGACCUACGGGUGAAAGCAGGGGAUCUUCGGACCUUGCGCGAUUGAAUGAGCCGAUGUCGGAUUAGCUAGUUGGCGGGGUAAAGGCCCACCAAGGCGACGAUCCGUAGCUGGUCUGAGAGGAUGAUCAGCCACACUGGAACUGAGACACGGUCCAGACUCCUACGGGAGGCAGCCGUGGGGAAUAUUGGACAAUGGGCGCAAGUCUGAUCCAGCCAUACCGCGUGGGUGAAGAAGGCCUUCGGGUUGUAAAGCCCUUUUGUUGGGAAAGAAAAGCAGCAGGUUAAUACCCCGCUGUUCUGACGGUACCCAAAGAAUAAGCACCGGCUAACUUCGUG
rnacentral:rRNA from 1 species